ACCCUUCGCCGCUACUUGUUCUGCGAGAGGAACCGUUUUGUUAAACCAUCACCGAGAGGCAUCACGACCUUGUUUCUUGGAUAAAGCUCCCCCCCCCACACCUUCUCAUCGGGUUCGCGCAGCUCGAGCUUUAGGGUUCCGUCUCCAUUCGUGGGCGUUAGUCGGUGUCUCGAUGGCGGCCUUGCAGCCAUAUGGAUGCGGCGUGGUAGGAGCGAGGGGGAUGCCCUUGUUUGAGGGUCUCCGCCUCGCCCCAUCCAUCGCUCCUCUUGCUUCUUCGGUUGGAAUCCCCAUGGUGGGGCUCAACCGGAGGGGCUUCCCUGGCCUCGUUGUCAAGGCUGCGACGGUUGUUGCUCCGAAGUACACAUCCAUCAAACCUUUGGGUGAUAGAGUGCUAGUUAAGAUUAAAUCCUUGGAGGAGAAAACCAGUGGUGGAAUACUGCUUCCAACAACUGCCCAGUCAAAACCUCAAGGGGGUGAAGUUGUUGCUGUUGGGGAAGGUAGAACAAUUGGACCAAAGCAAAUAGAUAUCAGUGUUCAGGCUGGUAAACAGGUGGUCUAUAUGAAGUAUGCAGGAACAGAGCUUGAAUUUAAUGGAUCUAAUCAUGUUUUGUUGAAGGAAAAUGAUAUACUGGGUAUUCUUGAAACUGAUGAUAUUAAGGACCUCAAGCCGCUUAAUGACCGAGUUCUAAUUAAGGUUGCGGAAGCUGAAGAGAAGACUGCUGGUGGAUUACUGUUGACUGAAGCUGCAAAGGAAAAGCCCUCGGUGGGGACGGUGAUCGAUGUCGGCCCCGGCCCAUUGGACGAGGUAGGCAAUAGAAAACCAUUGAAGAUCAGCCCUGGGAGUACCAUUUUGUAUUCUAAGUAUGCUGGGAGUGAGUUCAAGAGUGCUGAUGGUGCUGAUUACAUUGUUUUGAGAGCAUCUGAUGUGAUUGCUGUCCUCCCUUCGUAUUGAAGUCCUGCCAAUUAAACAUGGUCACCAACAAGACAAGACUGGAGUUUAUCAAGGUUGUUUGUUCAAGUCUGUCAAGUUAGCAGCACAAACUCCUAACAUAAAAGGUUAAUAUUGCUUUGGAUUUUCCACUGACACCUACACAGUUCAUAUGGGCUCUAUUUAAGAAUUGCAGUUGCAGUUUCAGUUUUGAUGUGCUUUGUUUGACCAACCAAGAACAGCAAUUAAAUGAAAGAGAGUUGGUCACAGAGGAAGUAGAGAAACGUUAACAGGUUUCUGCAAUAAAUACAUGCAGAAUACAACAGGUUUUAUAGGUCAACAUUGCACAACAUUUAUCACCAGAAACACAUGAUUAGCAUCAGACAAGUUUUUAGUGACUGGCAUUUCUUUCUCCUGUGUGGGAGCUGAUUAUUUUGAGUACCAUAAAACUAUCGACUUAUAGAUACAAUUUGCAUAGCAUGAAUGGCUCAAGUUUUUUGGGUUACAUCUGGUGCUAGAAACUUGUGAAGUCCUCUCUCAGAUGGCUUUCAGAUCAUGACCAGACCAGCAGUCAAGAAGAGAAAAAAGAUAAGCUUUGCUUUGAAUAUCCUUUUUGCUCUUUCUUACCGAUUUGUCUCGUCCUUGCAAGUGAAAUAAAUAGCAUUGGACUUUUCCCCCUAA